rnacentral:rRNA from 1 species
AGUGAACGCUGGCGGCAGGCCUAACACAUGCAAGUCGAACGACCUCUUCGGAAUUAGUGGCGGACGGGUGUGUAGCACGUGGGAACGUGCCUUUUGGCACGGAAUACUUCUGGUUCACUUGUGCUAAUGCCGGAUGUGCUCUUCUAGGGCAAGAUUCAUCGCCAUUAGAGCGGCCGGCGUCUGUUUAGCCUGUUGGUGUGGGAACGGCUGAUGACGGCGUCGAUAAGUAGCUGGUCAGAGAGAAAGGCCAGCGACACUGGGAAUGAGAUCCGGCGCAGACUCUUACGGGAGGGAGGAGUGGGGAAUCCUGCGAAACGGGCUAGAGGCUGACGCAGCCAGGCCGCGUGAAUGAUGAAGGUGUGAGGGAAGAAAAGUUCUUUCACCGGGGACGAUAAUGACGGUACCCGAAGAAGAAGCCCCGGCUAACUUCGUG